AGUGUCGGGGGUGGGGGUGCGCGAAGGCGGCUCCUGCUCGCGGUUGUGGAGGCAGGCGGCUGCGGUGCCUGUCAGGGCAGGGAUGGUGCUCGUUUUGGAGGGGACGGCAGCUGGGCAUGGUGCAGGAAGCCAGGGAGGCUCCGAUGGUUCUCGGGAGUUGUACCUUUUACGCCGGCAGGGAAGAGGGACCCCGUGUGGGCCUGUAGUUGCCGAUGUAUUUGGUUCUGGCCCGGGACGGAGUCCAGACUCUCCGGCUGACCUUGGGGGACGAGGCCCGCAGCAGGGAGCAGCCUGACUUGUCACACAGCAGGUGACUGACUGCUUGCUGACUUAGAGCUGUGUAAGGACUGUGGCUGCUUCGCCGAUGUGUGAUGCCUGCGCUAAUAACGUUUGGCUGUCAGAUACAUGGCUUAGUGGGGCCAUCAGGAAGAGCUUUUCUUCCUCCUAACGGUGUAGCUGUUUUCAGUACAUCCAUAGAAAGAAAAAGCUGAGAAUGGAUGAGAGAUAUGGUUUAAGACCUCUCGGCAUGGUGCAGGAUCAGACAAGCUAGUUUGUUUCCCCUUUCUGCUACCUGUGCUUGCUCUCUAAUACUGAUAACACUUAGCCAGCUGACAGGGUGUUUUCUGAGCAGCAUACCCCUCUGGCUGCAGUGUAGGAGGUAGGGUAGAUUUUCAGCACAGCAUCAUAGACUUUUCUGUACUGAACAUCAUCCCUGCAUUUGCUAGCCUCUCUGUAGGGGAUUGGGAAAUGAUCUGUUUGACAACUGAGAGAUUACUUAAAUCUCAGGUUUAAGGGGACUGGAGUUUCCUGAAAUAUCAUGCAGAAGAUCUUCACUUAAACCUAGAAAGGAGGACACUCAAAGUAUUGAAUGGUUUGUGAAAUAACACUAUUUCUAGUUGCAGUUGAUUCCUGUGAAAUAAAGCAUUUUAUUACUUCAAGAAGAUACUCCACUGAAAAGAGUUGUGGAAAAUUACAGGCUCGCUGGAAGUCUUGAUUAAAGUCCAAUAGUGAUAUAACACAUGAAAUAGGAUGUUACACAUUUUUAUGUUAUACUUUGGCUCCUCCUGGAGAUCUUAAUUACAAGAUCCACAAGAAGCUGACAGUCCUAUUGCAGGAAUAAAAGUUGUCUGAGCAUUUUGUAUGGAAAAAGCAAAAGGUGUCAAUGGAAUCAACAGCCUGCCUUUGGCAUUUCCUAAGUAUGUAAGUAUACUUCUGUCAGUGAAAAAUUACUCCACUGUCUGUAGUCCUGAGCCUGUGAUGCUGAUAUAGACUGUGUAUGUUUGAACUUCUGUACUGACAUCCUAUACUGCAGAAAUUAUGGGUUGUACGUUACCAAAGUGGUUUGUACCAAACGUACAACUAUGGGUUGUAUGUUACCAAAGUCACUGUGGACUCCAAUAAGCAACCACCCAUCAUCAUCAAGACCAGGAGAAGACUCUGCAGAAGGGAUGGGAAGAUGAGUAGGAGUGUAUGAUGCUUUUGCUCAAAGUAGAAAUUGACCUAAUUAAAUAGAAACCUGGGUUCAGAUUUCAUUCUGACCAAUUGUUACUCGAAAACUUUUGGGUGUGGGUGCUCUAAAUGGAGCCUUCACAAAACCAGCUCUGCAGUCUGUAUGAGAAAUAGGUGAAUUUAUGAGGUUGAUUGUACAUCUGUGUUACAAGACAACAUGACUUUGAGGGUGUCUAAUGUGCUGCUGUUGUCAUGUCAACACCCGUAUCACUGCAGCGUGGACAAAGGGCAGAUGUGAUUGUCUCUGCUCUUGCAAAUUAAUUGUUGGUUCUUAGCAUAAUUCUUAGUGUGAAAAUUAGCUGAAUGAAGAGGUUUUCAUGUGCACUCAAGGAUUGGAAUGUGGUUUCUAAGGGUGGUUGAUACUGUCUGUACUAGCCUUAGUACAUAAGUAUUUUUUUAAUGGCUGUUUUCUUAAUUGCCCCAGCUAUAAAACGUAGUUGUCCACAGUUUGCUAUGGAAGGAGGAGAGUUGGAAGUGUCACCAACUUCAAAGUCUGUGGGGGAAGGGUGUAAAAUCUUCCACAUCAAGUUACUGCUCAGAUUCUGGAGACUGAAGAGGCUGCUGUGAAGGUUUUCUGUUUAUGAUUGUCUGCCGUGAAGCUGUUUCUCAAAGAGGUACUGGAGCUGCAAAGUGAAAGGUGAUGGUGAAUUCAGCUGGGUCAAGGAGCAUAAGAGGAGUGCUCUAGGAACAGUCAAGAACUUCUUCAUGUAGUAUGAACAUGUUUGAAAAGCUGCAACAGUGCAAUACUGCACAACAGGAAUGAGUGUGCAGGCUACUGCACACUGCUGGAUUCACAGAAGUGAUCUCUGAAAUGAUCUUAGUGGAGAACUCUGUUUAUUUCAGAGCUUAUAACUCCCAUGAAUUUCAGUGAGUUCAUCUAAUACCAAAACAGGAAACUACUCUUAUUGUAGACACUGCAGAUGGGGAUCUGAACAGGUGACUUAAAAAGUGAGGACUUUGUGAUGGGCCUUGGAACUGCAGGUAGUUUGAGUAAAAGAAACUUCAGUUGUGGGAGCUCCCUUGGGAAACCACAUUAGUGAGGGAAGCUUGCUAAAUGGAGGAAACUCAAAAGUUCAGUCUGUUCUGCAGCUGUUUCUUGGCUACAUGCACGUAUAUCUUAAGGUGGGAUGGCCUAAGAUGACCGCUGAAGACCACGGGGUUGUAGAGAGACAUUUGAGAGCAUAUAUCCAACUCCAGCCUCACCUAGAUGGCUUCACUUCUCAUUGAGCGUUUUUCAGUUUAAAAAUCACGGCUUUGCUUAGUCCCUGUAACUCCUGCAGGGCUUCCUAGCUGAUUGCAGCCCUGGUUUGGAGGAGCCUUCUGCACCCACGGCUUGCUGCAGCGCACGAACGUGACUCAGAUGGGCUGCAGGGCCGAGUGUGAAUCCCGGUCCGAUUGCCCGUGUUCUGGCUGUCAUGCGAGCGGGGGCCGCCUGUGCGGAGUGAGAACGUCCUUGGGCGGCUCUUGUUGGGUGUGUAAGCACUGCCCUCUUCAGCACAGAGCUUGCCACAACCCUGUAUUGCAUAAAGCGGCUGGAGGUGUGCUAGGUAUGGCUCUCAGGCCGCUGCCACUCAUGCUGGGAAGGUCUAUUUUUGAUGUGUAGUGGCAAGGGAGGUGGUAAAUGACACCGUUCAGCUGAUGUCUCUCUCUGCGCCAGACGAGUAGUUCGUAGCUGACAAGUUCACGGGCCCGCGAUGUGCCCUUGUGGCCAAGGCAAAUGGUAUCCCCAGUUGCAUUAAGCUGAGUGUGUCCAGCAGAUCGAGGGAGGUUCUACUCCCCUUCUGCUCUGCCCUAGUGAGACUUCACCUGGAAUAUUGCAUCUGCUUCUGGGCUCCCCAGUUAAAGAUCUGCUUGAGAGAAUCCAAUGGAGGGCUGCAAGGAUGAUUAAGGGACUGGAGCAUGUGCCUUGUGAGGAAAGACUGAGAGGGCAUCUAAUGUUUUAUAACUGUGUGAGGGCUGAGUGUCCAGAAGGAAGGGAUAGUCUCUGCUCACCUGUGCCCUGUUACAGGACAAGGGGCAGUGGAUGUAGACUACAGCACAAGCAGUUUUCUCUCAGCUUGAGGAAGAACUUUACGGGUCACAGGGCACUGGAACAGGCUUCCCAGAGAGAUUUGGACUCUCCUUUUCUGGAGAGUUUCAAGACCCAUCUGGAUGCAUUCCAGUGCAACUUGCACUAGGUUAUGUGGUCCUGCUCUAGCAGGGGGGUUGGACUUGAUGAUCUGUGGAGGUCCCUUCCAACCCCUAACAUCCUGGGAUCCUUCAGCACUGCAGCAGCUUUUACUCCUUUAAAAAAAAACACAAAGGAGAGGCAGCAGGGAGUAUUUUGCAAGGUGUCUAGGUAACAGAAGGGUCACAAACUAUACUGAAAUUGAAAGCCCAGUUAAAUACCUGGAAAAAAGUCCAUUUGGGGAAAUAAUGACUGCCAUGACAAAGGCAGUGUGGACCUGGCAGUCUCUCAUCGUGAGAUUCAUGGUAGGGGAGGAAGUCCUGGAUGCACAGAGGGUGUGGAAGCAACAACCAGAGGUAAAAAUAUAACAGUAUUUUUGUGCCAGAUUAUGCACCAUUAUUUAUUAAAUUGAUAGGCUGGGGUCCCUGAUCAUGCAUGCUGGUGCUCCCAGGGAAUGAUUGCUCUCUAGCUCUUUGACCAUGAGAGUGGUGAGACCCUGGACUGAGUUGCCCAGGGAGGUGGUUGAGGCCCCGUCCCUGGAGGUGUUUAAGGCCAGGCUGGAUGGGGCUCUAGCCAGCCUGAUCUAGGAUAGGGUGUCCCUGCCUAUGGCAGUGGUGUUGGAACUAUAGAUGAUCCUUGUGGUGCCUUCCAACCUUGACUGAUUCUACGGUUCUAAAGUUCUCUCACUUCUCUAAGAUUCAGCUUACAUGUAGCAGCGUAUUGGAGCAUUCUUUACACAAACCAUUUCCCUCCUGGUAAGUAGCCCUGCUCUGUGCAAGGAAAAAAAAACACACAGCUCUGAGGAGAGCAUCAUUUGAGAGUGUCUCCUGUGGCAGACUACUGGGUUUGCUCUUGCCUCGGGCUCUGCAGUGUACCUAGUUUGUUGCCUUUCUGUGAGUUGUCAUUGGUUGGCUCUUUUCUACCACCUGAUUGUUUUUUCUUUGGGCUUUUUGCCAUUGUUUUGCAGAUGCCUCUUCCGGAAGAACCAGUAACAGCAGUAUCUCAGGUUCCCAGCCAAGAUUCUAGUCACAUGAUUUCACUUGCUCCAUUCCAUCAAGUUACUUCCAUGCAGUGUCCUAAGGAUAUAAUUUAGUGGAAUGCUACUUCUCCAACAUCUUGUAGGCAGCUUCCCACUUGGUAUAUCAUCUUGAAGUGGUUUCUUCCCCAACAAGGAGACCAUUUUGAGUUGCGUGCCAGACACCUGAUCUUCUUCCACAGUUCAUCAAGCCCAGGGCCUACAAAGAAGUUCUGGAUUCAUCUGGAAGGUAAAUACAGAAAUGCUCAACUGGUUUGUGUUUCCCUGCUGUUUGAAAUGAGCCACUAGUGUCACUGAAGUCUCAAUCUAACCCUUCAAGGGCUGAAAUGGAGUAGGUGUCUGUAAACAGAACAUAAAUUCUUUCAUCAGGUUCUUAUGGUUGUAUAUUUUAUCCUUUCUCUAGAGAGUGUAGCAGGGGCUUAGGUAAAGCAGAUUGGACGUUCAUUCGGGGUGGCUUAGUGAAGUGGGAAAACAAAGUAUCUGGCUGAAGAGCUGCAUAUUUAGCUACACAAUUCGAGUGUGCUGAAGAACUGCAGAGAUUGCAGAGUUAUGCUGUUCAUUCCUCUCUGGCAGUGAGACAUUCCUGUUCAUCUCCUGGGCAGUUUCACAGGUCUUGCCUAUCACUGGACCCAGCUGAUAGAGUGUAAAAUCAUGUGUAAUCUCUAUGCCAAUUGUCUGUCUUUAGUUGUUAUCCUACAGAGAAGGAAGAUGGAACAAGCUAAUUGAGAUCCUUGGAAUAAAAGACAGUUUUCCAGAGCUGAA